rnacentral:lncRNA from 1 species
GUUCGUGUUGGAUUAUCAUGAUUUGCUUCUACCUUAUGUGAACAAAGUGAGAGAGUUGGAUAACACCAACUUAUAUGCAUCUCGAACACUAUUCUACCUCAGCGAUGAUAGCACAUUGAGGCCUGUUGCCAUUGAGUUGACAGUUCCACCAAAUAUCAACAAGCCACAAUGGAAGCAAGUCUUCACACCAGGCUAUGAUGCUACCUCAUGCUGGCUAUGGAGUCUUGCUAAGACUCAUGCUAUAUCUCAUGACGCCGGUUAUCACCAGCUUAUAUCCCAUUGGUAUUGAAAAACACUCAUUAAUUCAAAACACACAUAUUUAUAUGAUCUUCUUAUAUACGGAUUACUGAUGGAUAAAUUUACAGGUUGAGGACUCAUUGUUGUAUGGAGCCGUACAUUAUAGCGGCAAACAGGCAACUAAGUGCAAUGCAUCCUAUCUAUAGGCUUUUGCAUCCUCACUUCCGUUACACGAUGGAGAUCAACGCUCGUGCACGUCAAAGUCUUGUCAAUGCAGGUGGAAUCAUUGAGACUUGUUUUUGGCCCGGGAGGUAUUCAUUGGAGCUAAGUUCAGACGUCUAUGAUAAACUAUGGAGGUUUGACAUGGAAGGCUUACCUGCUGAUCUCAUCAAAAGGUGCAUUUUGCUAAUUAAAAUGAAAUAUAUUUACCACCAAAGUUUAAUUGCAAAGCUAAUUAGUUUUUGUUUCCAUUAAAAAUUUGCAAUAUAAGGGGGAUGGCUGAAGAAGAUGAGAACGCUAAACAUGGACUACGCCUGACGAUACCAGACUACCCGUUUGCGAAUGACGGUCUAAUAUUAUGGGAUGCAAUUAAAGAAUGGGUGACAGAAUAUGUGAACCACUAUUAUCCAGAUGCAGAACUGAUCAAGUCGGACGAGGAACUUCAAGGAUGGUGGAGCGAAGUGCAAAACGUAGGACAUGGAGACAAGAAAGAUGAACCUUGGUGGCCUGUCCUCGAGACACAAGAUGACUUAAUUAAUAUCGUCACGACGAUUGCGUGGGUCGCUUCAGGUCACCAUGCAGCUGUAAACUUUGGACAGUAUGGAUAUGGAGGAUACUUCCCUAACAGACCAACCACAACAAGGAUAAAAAUGCCGACAGAAGAACCAACAGAUGAAGAGCUAGAGGAGUUCUACGAGUCACCAGAAAAAGUAAUGCUUAAAACAUACCCAUCACAGAAGCAGGCGACUCUAGUGAUGGUCACUUUGGAUCUUUUAUCAACUCAUUCAGUUGAUGAAGAGUACAUUGGAGAGUAUCCGGAAUCAUCUUGGGCUGAUGAACCUAUGAUAAAUGCUGCUUUUGAACGUUUUAAAGGUAGGCUUCAAUAUCUAGAAGGAGUGAUAGAUGAGAGAAACGUGACACUUUCUCUAAAGAAUAGAGCUGGAGCUGGUGUGGUUAAGUAUGAGCUUUUGAAGCCUACUUCUGAGCAUGGUGUUACUGGAAUGGGUGUUCCCUACAGUAUUUCUAUUUGAUCUAUUUUGUUUUCCUUUCCCAAGUGUCUUUAUUUUUCUGUAUGUCUUCAAGAAAUAAAACAACUGAUCCAUUGUCUUUUCUAUAUAAAUCU